rnacentral:rRNA from 1 species
UGAGGAAUAUUGGUCAAUGGACGAGAGUCUGAACCAGCCAAGUAGCGUGAAGGAUGACUGCCCUAUGGGUUGUAAACUUCUUUUAUACGGGAAUAAAGUGAGGCACGUGUGCCUUUUUGUAUGUACCGUAUGAAUAUGGAUCGGCUAACUCCGUGCCAGCAGCCGCGGUAAUACGGAGGAUCCGAGCGUUAUCCGGAUUUAUUGGGUUUAAAGGGAGCGUAGGCGGACGCUUAAGUCAGUUGUGAAAGUUUGCGGCUCAACCGUAAAAUUGCAGUUGAUACUGGGUGUCUUGAGUACAGUAGAGGCAGGCGGAAUUCGUGGUGUAGCGGUGAAAUGCUUAGAUAUCACGAAGAACUCCGAUUGCGAAGGCAGCUUGCUGGACUGUAACUGACGCUGAUGCUCGAAAGUGUGGGUAUCAAACAGGAUUAGAUACCCUGGUAGUCCACACAGUAAACGAUGAAUACUCGCUGUUUGCGAUAUACAGUAAGCGGCCAAGCGAAAGCGUUAAGUAUUCCACCUGGGGAGUACGCCGGCAACGGUGAAACUCAAAGGAAUUGACGGGGGCCCGCACAAGCGGAGGAACAUGUGGUUUAAUUCGAUGAUACGCGAGGAACCUUACCCGGGCUUGAAUUGCAACUGAAUGAUGUGGAGACAUGUCAGCCGCAAGGCAGUUGUGAAGGUGCUGCAUGGUUGUCGUCAGCUCGUGCCGUGAGGUGUCGGCUUAAGUGCCAUAACGAGCGCAACCCUUAUCGAUAGUUACCAUCAGGUUAUGCUGGGGACUCUGUCGAGACUGCCGUCGUAAGAUGUGAGGAAGGUGGGGAUGACGUCAAAUCAGCACGGCCCUUACGUCCGGGGCUACACACGUGUUACAAUGGGGGGUACAGAAGGCAGCUACACGGCGACGUGAUGCUAAUCCCGAAAGCCUCUCUCAGUUCGGAUUGGAGUCUGCAACCCGACUCCACGAAGCUGGAUUCGCUAGUAAUCGCGCAUCAGCCACGGCGCGGUGAAUACGUUCCC